CAGUCACCAUGGCAACCAGGAGGCGGGCACGCAUUAGGCUGUGGAUCAGAGCAAGGCGGAGGGCCGUGGGCAGGGAAAACUGGUGUGCUCGCGGCGGGCAUCAGUCGGCUUAGCCUCGCGCGCCGGGACCCUGCAGAGAAGAACACACCAGUCAGUUUUUCAAGGGAAAAUCCUGGGCCAGGAGCCAAGUCCUGAUCUCUACAAACUUAAUAUUGUGUAGAUUAUUUUACCACCUGAGAUCUCAGUGGCCUCAUCUGUGCAAGAAAGAGAAAAUUAAAUAAUAAAAAAGAUAAAACCUUGGCCUGUCUGAAGAUGAGGUGGAGGAUCAUCCAAGUACAGUACUGUUUUCUCUUGGUUCCGUGCAUGCUGACCGCUCUGGAAGCUGUUCCUAUCGAUGUGGACAAGACCAAAGUACACAACACUGAGCCAGUGGAAAAUGCAAGGAUAGAGCCACCAGAUACUGGACUUUAUUAUGAUGAAUACCUCAAGCAAGUGAUUGAAGUCUUGGAAACAGAUCCACAUUUCAGAGAAAAGCUCCAGAAAGCAGACAUAGAGGAGAUAAGGAGCGGGAGGCUGAGUCAAGAGCUGGACUUAGUAAGUCACAAAGUGAGGACGAGACUGGAUGAGCUGAAGAGGCAAGAAGUAGGAAGACUGCGGAUGCUCAUCAAAGCUAAGCUGGAUGCCCUUCAAGACACUGGCAUGAAUCACCACCUUCUUCUGAAGCAGUUUGAACACCUGAACCACCAGAAUCCUAACACAUUUGAAUCCAGAGAUUUGGAUAUGCUAAUCAAAGCAGCUACCGCGGAUCUGGAGCAAUAUGACCGGACUCGGCAUGAAGAGUUUAAGAAGUACGAGAUGAUGAAGGAACACGAGCGGAGAGAGUAUUUAAAAACGCUGAGUGAGGAGAAGAGGAAAGAAGAAGAGUCUAAGUUUGAAGAGAUGAAGAGGAAGCACGAAGACCACCCCAAAGUUAAUCAUCCCGGAAGCAAAGAUCAACUAAAAGAGGUUUGGGAAGAGACUGAUGGAUUGGACCCUAAUGACUUUGACCCCAAGACAUUUUUCAAAUUACAUGAUGUUAACAACGAUGGAUUCCUGGAUGAACAAGAAUUAGAAGCACUAUUCACAAGAGAGUUGGAGAAAGUGUAUAACCCACAAAAUGCAGAGGACGAUAUGAUAGAAAUGGAAGAGGAGAGGCUCAGGAUGAGAGAACACGUCAUGAGUGAGGGUACAAGAAGGUAGGGCUGGCUCAGCUGAGCUUGUGCCUAGCGUGCUUUGGCUCUUCCGUGUCCUAUAUUCCCAGGCUUCAGGAGCGAUCCCUCACUGGAUGACAUAAGGAACAUGAGCAGCUCAAGGCCCGAUCAUGGAGUAUUGAUAACAACAAAGACCGAUUGGUGACUCUGGAGGAAUUCCUGAGAGCUACAGAGAAGAAAGAAUUCCUGGAGCCUGAUAGCUGGGAGACACUGGACCAGCAACAGUUAUUCACCGAGGACGAGCUUAAAGAGUAUGAAAGCAUUAUUGCUAUCCAAGAGAACGAGCUUAAGAAGAGGGCGGAAGAGCUGCAGAAACAGAAGGAGGAUCUGCAGCGGCAGCACGACCACCUCGAGGCGCAGAAGCAGGAGUAUCAUCAGGCCGUCCAGCACCUGGAACAGAAGAAACUUCAACAAGGCAUUGCUCCAUCAGGGCCAGCGGGAGAGCUGAAGUUUGAGCCACACACAUAAAGUCCUGAUGUCUGCCAGAACUUGGAAGAAAACCGUUGAUUCAACAUCUAUUUCAUCUUUCAACAUCCUUUCUUUUCUCUCCACUCAAUAAAUACUUUAAAGCACAUUUGGAAUAAAGGAAGAGACUUUUAAGUGAGAA